AACGAGGCCGACCUGCGGCUGAGUUACCUGCGGAAGGAUCAUUACCGAGUUUACAAACUCCCAACCCUUUGUGAACCUUACCAUAUUGUUGCUUCGGCGGGACCGCCCCGGCGCCUUCGGGCCCGGAACCAGGCGCCCGCCGGAGGCCCCAAACUCUUAUGUCUUUAGUGGUUUUCUCCUCUGAGUGACACAUAAACAAAUAAAUAAAAACUUUCAACAAUGGAUCUCAGAUCGGAAGAG
rnacentral:misc_RNA from 1 species